GCCAAUUAGGUGUUUCAUUCGCACAUUGACUUUUCACGUCAAAAGAGCACACUAGUGCACUCGGCU
rnacentral:tRNA from 1 species